rnacentral:lncRNA from 1 species
AAUAAAUAAAUAAAUAAUGGAGAGAGAGAAAGAGAGAGAGAUGGUUGCUAGUAGUAAUGACUCCAGGGUAAUGCCUCUGUACAAUAAGGGCCUCUUGGAAGGCCCUCAUGACAUUCCCCAUAAUCAACAACAACUACCUUCUCAUUUGGCCAUCCUUAUUUUUCCAUUCCAUCCAUUCACCCCCCAACAAAGUAACAGAAACAAGCCCUUCUUUCUCCUCCCACUCUCUUUCACUCCGUCACGAAAUGAUUUUCAAAGUAAUUUAAUCAUGUUUUCAGAGAAAAAUCACGAAAACA